rnacentral:lncRNA from 1 species
UGUAGUCCAUGAAAAUAAGCUUUCUGUGCUCUGUUUCUGCAGUAGUGGAUUUCCCAUGCAAUUCAGAACCCGUGGUUUCCAGAGUUUGGAUCAAGUGCUGAAGUCCUUCCUGCUGAACCAGUGAUCAUCAUCAACAAGAACAGCAACAACAAAUGUGUUUUAUUUCAUCUGGUUCAACCGUGCUUCACUAAUGAGUCAUCCACACCACAUUCACCUCAUCCAUUUGUGUGAGUCAUGUGGAACAACAGCAUGUAGCUUUUAUUGCAGUAGCAGUCUACGUUUCUUUCUAAGGCCAAGUGGAUGGAUGACACCAUGAUUUCCCCAGACUUAUUUAAGAGGUGGUUCAGGCUGAGGUGGGAGAUUUCAGAACCAGAAACAGCUCCUUCUUCAGCACCAUGGACAGCAAUUAAGAAAUGGUGCACCUUGAAGCUUUUCUAUCAGUCACCACUGCUAUUUCCCUCUCGUCUCCAGCUCGGCUCAGAUGCUACGGAAAUAACAUAUCAUCACGCGGGGGCUGAUGGCAUCAGAUGGGUACUUCUGCUGCUCGAGUCAGCUCCGUGGAAAUUAUUUAUGAAAGGAAGUAGGAUACAAAACUGCUUGACAUUUUAGAAGACCUCAUUAACAUGCACUUGUGGAGAAUCAGAUCUGGAGUAGCUGAAAGUUUUCCCUGUCCCAGCGCUUAAUUAGAGGCUGGGCCAACUGCGUUUAAUGCUCAUGAAAAAUUUAACCAUCAUCACCACCACCACCGCCCGGCUGCUCUUACUGACUGAGGAUCAAAAGAUGUAACCAGAAGGAUCAGCCAUGACUGGAACGGGAGAGAAGAGGCCCCAUGAAAGGGGGGGGGUGUUCUCCUCCUCAAAGACCAUGGCUCCCAGUUGAGAAGUCUCAGAAGUUUGGAGUUUCUUCCAGCCAGUGAACCUGGGCCAUUCUGAUGUCAGAUGAAUUAGCCCCAGCGUUUGUGUUUGGACAUUAAAGGAGCCCCACAAGAUGCUGAAUCUGUUUGGAGGAUGGGGAUGUUUGUUGCUUAACUCCUGAGUCAGUCAUCUUAAUUUUGCCCACUGGAGGAUGUGCCUGUCAAGAAGGAGGUUUCUUGGGUGGUUUGUUGGUUUUGGUUUGUUGGUUUGUUUGUUUGCAUCUGUUUCAAUUCCAUUUGUCCGUUUGUGUCAUUUAUUUAUUUUUCUGUAGCCUCCCAGAGUAGCGGCUUGCCACUACAUGGGCGNNNGAAGGAAGGAAGGAAGGAAGGAAGGAAGGAAGGAAGGAGGGAGCGAGCGAGAGAGAGAGAGAGAGAGAGAGAGAGAGAGAGAAAGAAAGAAAGAAAGAAAGAAAGAAAGAAAGAAAGAAAGAAAGAAAGAAAGAAAGAAAGA